rnacentral:rRNA from 1 species
UGGGGAAUUUUGGACAAUGGGGGAAACCCUGAUCCAGCCAUCCCGCGUGUGCGAUGAAGGCCUUCGGGUUGUAAAGCACUUUUGGCAGGAAAGAAACGUCAUGGGUUAAUACCCCGUGAAACUGACGGUACCUGCAGAAUAAGCACCGGCUAACUACGUGCCAGCAGCCGCGGUAAUACGUAGGGUGCAAGCGUUAAUCGGAAUUACUGGGCGUAAAGCGUGCGCAGGCGGUUCGGAAAGAAAGAUGUGAAAUCCCAGAGCUCAACUUUGGAUCUGCAUUUUAAACUACCGGGCUAGAGUGUGUCAGAGGGAGGUGGAAUUCCGCGUGUAGCAGUGAAAUGCGUAGAUAUGCGGAGGAACACCGAUGGCGAAGGCAGCCUCCUGGGAUAACACUGACGCUCAUGCGCGAAAGCGUGGGGAGCAAACAGG